GCAAUUUGAAAUCUCAAGAGGCCACUAUAGUCACCUUGAUCCAUGGGCAUCUUCAGUCCCAUGUACAGAGUUUAUGCACAACAUUUUUGGUGUUUAAUUUCUUCCCUACCCUCCCUGAGUGCUCUUUGUGUGGCUUGUUCUUGGGUUGUAACUGCGAGUCAGAAUCUGCCUUGAAGGCACUAACGUCUAGUUGCCAGAUAGUUAGGUCAGUAAACAAGACAACGAAGGAAAAGAACCCAGGGUAGUGUGUGAUGUGGGAGCUGCAGUGGAGGCAGGUACCAGGAAGACUUGUUCUCUGUCAGGUGCGGGAAACUGUAGGAGACAAAUAAAUGUGUGGCCAGAAAACCUGUGGAGACUGGGUCUCGGGUGGCCUUGAACUCCCUAGGUAUCCAAUAUGACCUUGAACUUCUGAUCCUUCUGCCUCCACCUUCUGAGUGGCCAACUGGUAAGGAGAUCUGAAAAGGUAGGUAUAAAACGAGCAGAUAAGAUAGAAAAGAUGUUUCAGACAGGCAAAAAGGGUUUGUCCUGUGCAGGAAACAAUGAGGGGAUGGAUACUGUUGCUGAGUGUGUAAGGCUAGAGAUGACUUAAGAAGGCUUGCUGUGGGCUUGGGGAUUUAGCUCAGUGGUAGAGCACUUGCCUAGCAACCGCAAGGCCCUGGGUUCGGUCCCCAGCUCCGGAAAAAUAAAAAAAAAAAAUAAAAAAAAAGAAGGCUUGCUGCACCUGCAGAGGAGCAGAUGGGAUUCCCAGCACCCGCAGAGUAGCUUAAAACCAUUUGCCACCCCAGGAGACCAACACCCUCCUCUCUCUUCCCUCCGCACCAAGCACACGGGAAGUAUACUCGUAACAUGCAGACAGAACACUCAUACACAUAACAUAAAAAUAAAUACAUCUUUUAAAAAAUUAGCUUCAAUGUAUAAGGUGGAUUGUGGGGUUAAGUUUAAUUUAAAUUUCUUCCUGUUUUGAAUAUAAAAAUCUUAUAGUGAAAGAAAGACCUUUUCAAGGUCUUCCUGACAGCAAUACAAAGAAUGCUAAGUCUGUUGUCAGAUCUGUUUACCACCCAAAACCAAUGUUAAUCCCACAGACUCGAGGAGAAAGGUCACCAAUCCAAAUCAUGGCCCAGUUAAUUAAGGUCAGCUUUUUUAUUCUGGUACAUGGGCUGCCUCACCCCAAUACAGGGUUCAAAAGAUCAGCCUUGGACAUGGAGAAGAUGAGGGUUUUUAUAGCUCAGGAGUAGGGGGUCUUCAAAUGGAUCUGGCAGGCAAAUCCCCAGUGGGGGCAGGGUUAGAGAAGCAGAACAUAAGCAGAACAAGUUGGUAAAGCCUCCUGAAGGUGUGGCUAUCUUUUCUUGGAACAGACAGUACAGAACCAUUUGUAGCUAAGGUUACAGGUUAGGGCAUAGAAAGAGAGAUUUAAUCUUUUUUUUUUUUUUUAAGAUUUAUUCAUUUAUUAUAUACAAGUACACUGUAGCUGUCUUCAGAUACACCAGAAGAGGGCAUCAGAUCUCUUUACAGAUGGUUGUGAGUCACCAUGUGGUUGCUGGGAAUUGAACUCAGGACCUCUGGAAGAGCAGUCGGGGCUCUUAACUUCUGAGCCAUCUCUCCAGCCCGAGAGAUUUAAUCUUAAGUAGGACUGGACCUACACGAGGGCUUACAUUUAUUUAUAAUAACUCAGGCCUUAUCUCACUCGUUCCCAACUAGCUCUUAUAACCUGUUUGUUGUUAGUUCUAUAAACAAACAGGAUUGAUACAUUGAUUAGGUCCGAGCCCUCUUGAUCUAAUUACCUGCCAGUGAUUGGAGACACUAGGUGGGGGCCAAGUCUUAUUUUUUGGUCAUCAUUGAGCCUUUGAAAGAGUACUUCAGGGCUGGAGAGAUGGCUCAGUGGUUAAAAGCACUGACUGCUCUUCCAGAGGUCCUGGGUUCGAUCCCCAGCCCCGGAAAAAAAAAAAAAAAAGAAAAGUAAGAAGCUCAGCAGGUAAAGGUGCUUGUCUAGUAAAGCUCAAGACCUGAGUUCAAUCCCCACAUCAAGGUGAAAG
ensembl:lncRNA